AACGCUAGCUACAGGCUUAACACAUGCAAGUCGAGGGGCAGCAUGGUCUUAGCUUGCUAAGGCCGAUGGCGACCGGCGCACGGGUGAGUAACACGUAUCCAACCUGCCGUCUACUCUUGGACAGCCUUCUGAAAGGAAGAUUAAUACAAGAUGGCAUCAUGAGUCCGCAUGUUCACAUGAUUAAAGGUACUCCGGUAGACGAUGGGGAUGCGUUCCAUUAGAUAGUAGGCGGGGUAACGGCCCACCUAGUCUUCGAUGGAUAGGGGUUCUGAGAGGAAGGUCCCCCACAUUGGAACUGAGACACGGUCCAAACUCCUACGGGAGGCAGCAGUGAGGAAUAUUGGUCAAUGGGCGAGAGCCUGAACCAGCCAAGUAGCGUGAAGGAUGACUGCCCUAUGGGUUGUAAACUUCUUUUAUAAAGGAAUAAAGUCGGGUAUGGAUACCCGUUUGCAUGUACUUUAUGAAUAAGGAUCGGCUAACUCCGUGCCAGCAGCCGCGGUAAUACGGAGGAUCCGAGCGUUAUCCGGAUUUAUUGGGUUUAAAGGGAGCGUAGAUGGAUGUUUAAGUCAGUUGUGAAAGUUUGCGGCUCAACCGCAAAAUUGCAGUUGAUACUGGAUAUCUUGAGUGCAGUUGAGGCAGGCGGAAUUCGUGGUGUAGCGGUGAAAUGCUUAGAUAUCACGAAGAACUCCGAUUG
rnacentral:rRNA from 1 species